CAGCAUCAAUAGGCUAUCUUAAAGGAGUUAAAUACCUUCUUAAAAAAUGUGCUUCCUGCGUCAUGGAAAGGGACAUACAUGGAUUCUUGCCAAUUCAUUUGGCUUCUUACUCAGGCCAGGUUACAGUAGUUCAAGAACUGCUCAAAUCAGAGUUCUGCCCGGACACUAGAGAGAUACUCGACAAUGGCGGCCGAAAAAUUCUUCAUCUUGCAGUUCAGAGUGGGAAGCAUAAUGUGGGUAAGUACAUCUUGCACGCCGCUAAUUCUAACCAUGAACUUGAAAACAUGAUAAAUGAAGGCUAUCUUAAAGGAGUUAAAUACCUUCUUAAAAAAUGUGCUUCCUGCGUCAUGGAAAGGGACAUACAUGGAUUCUUGCCAAUUCAUUUGGCUUCUUACUCAGGCCAGGUUACAGUAGUUCAAGAACUGCUCAAAUCAGAGUUCUGCCUUCUUCAUCUUGCAGUUCAGAGUGGGAAGCAUAAUGUGGUUAAGUACAUCUUGCACGCCGCUAAUUCUAACCAUGAACUUGAAAACAUG
rnacentral:lncRNA from 1 species